rnacentral:rRNA from 1 species
CCUACGGGUGGCAGCAGUGAGGAAUAUUGGUCAAUGGGCGCGAGCCUGAACCAGCCAAGUAGCGUGCAGGAUGACUGCCCUACGGGUUGUAAACUUCUUUUAUACAGGAAUAACGUGAGGUACGUGUGCCUUUUUGUAUGUACUUUAUGAAUAAGGAUCGGCUAAAUCCGUGCCAGCAGCCGCGGUAAUACGGAGGAUCCGAGCGUUAUCCGGAUUUAUUGGGUUUAAAGGGAGCGUAGGUGGCAUAAUAAGUAGCUAGUGAAAUCUGGUGGCUCAACCAUUCAGACUAUUAGCUAAACUGUCGAGCUCGAGACCGUGAGGAGUAACCGGAAUUUCUAGUGUAGGAGUGAAAUCCGUAGAUAUUACAAAGAACACCGAUAGCGAAGGCAGGUUGCUGGGGCGGUUCUGACACUAAUGCACGAAAGCGUAGGGAGCGAACGGGAUUAGAUACCCCAGUAGUC